GAAGAAACGAAACCAGAGGAGAAGAAUGGAGCUGGAUCGUCUGUGAAGACCCUGCCAGGCUGCAAAGAAGCUGCACUCAUAAUGCAGAGAAUGCAGCUGGAGGAGCUCUUUGAUUUAACUGUUGUUACUGAAAUCUGUGCAGCAUCAAGUGACUUAGAGCAGGAAGUUAUCUUAGAAUUCUGGAAAGAUUCAAGAAUGCAUGUCUUCCUACUAGAUUGUAAGCUUGUCGGGGCCACAUCUAUCCUGUUUACUACUGAAUCCCAGCUGGCAGAAAGUAGUCAUUUCACAAUAUUUUUGGAGCAAAUGCAUCAAUCAGACCAUCAUGUGUAAGGGAGGUCACAGGAUGAAGGAACAGUGCAGUGACCUGGAACACCAUGCCACGCUGCUGCAACUGUGUCGGUCCGUGGCUGUGUGUGCGUGCUCUGCACCCCUAGAUGAACUCACCAAACAGCAUCUACGGAAAAGCCCAUGAACUGUUGCUGCGAAGCAAAGGUGAUUAAAUGUAAGGUUAUA
rnacentral:lncRNA from 1 species